GUCAACCUAAAGAAGGAAAAAACAGUUUGCAUUUCCUUCACUUUCGAAGGUCACGGAGAUCAUUACGUAAAACGUGUCAUGCAGUGGUGUAGAGGUUGGGUGAGAACUGGAAGUUUUUCAUCAUUAUCAAGAAGGUAAAAUAACCGCAAGGCAUAAGAGGAGGGGUGAGAAAAAGUCGUAUAAAAGGCGAGAGAAAAGAUGACAGGGAUCAGUCGAGUGAGCAUCUUCGACACGGUAACAACUGCAGCCCACAAUUUGUCACCAACUGCCUUCUUCAUUGUACAACCAGUUCGCAAUCAUGGUUAACUAUGGUGCCGUGCUGCUGUUGGGUGUUGUAUCGUUAAUGGUUGGGUCGAACACGGGUAUACCGAUGUCUCCUGGACAUGGUGGCUACCAAGCAACAGCAGCGAAAGAAUACUACACCACGUCACCGCCUUACUACACAACAACGUCUAGAUACUCAACAUCUACGAACUACGCCGAGGCCCCCAAGUGCUACACCACCAAGACUGAAGAGUUACGCUACAAAUUACGCUGCCCCGAGUUAGAUCACCAAGGCGCCUGAGUACUACAUCACCGAUGUUCCCAAGUACUACACCACCGAGUAUUCUUCCCCAGCCUACUACAUCGAAGUCCCUAAGUACUACACGACUACGAAUGCUGCCCCAGCCUACUACACCAAGGCUCCAACUUAUUUCAAUACCACAGCGGUCGAGUACUACACCUAACCACACAAGUACUAAUCUGCCCCGAACUACACAACCACAACUGAGGCGGUGAAGUACUACGUAAAUUUUCUUUUUUGUUAACAUGGCAUUUAAUAUUGGAAAUUGAUGUUCAAAUUUUUUACCGUCUAGUCAACUUUAGUGUCGUGCUACUGUUAGUUGUAUUAUCCUUAAUGUUUGGGUCGACCACUGGUGUGGCGAUGUCUCGUGGGUACGGUGGAUACUAAACUGCAAUGCGGCGUCUAACUACACAACAACAUAUGCAACAACCGGAUGCUACACCACCAAGGCCCUAGUUGCCCCGAGUCAAACCACGAAGGGAGCGGAGUACUACAGCACGAAGGGAGCGGAGUACUACAGCACGAAGGGAGCGGAGUACUACAGCACGAAGGGAGCGGAGUACUACAGCACGA